GAAUAUAUUGUUAUUUUUUCUAGUAGCAAGCAAUAAAAUAUAAUUUUCUGCUUAUAUAAAGUAGGUCGUUUUGUUGUCAGGUGUGCAGAAAUGUUAUUUGAUACCUCUGUUCCCUCCUGGCAUGUAAAGUGCAAACGUGAAUUUGUACAUAGUAAAGCAAACAAAAAAAUUAAUAAUUUGGAAAAAAAGUAGUAUAAAUCGUUAUUAUUGUGAUAAUUCAAUAUUUUAGGGUUAAAAGACUUUACAUCCUCCUUAGUGCAUGGCUAUCCUACCGCUUUGCAUGUCAAGUUGCAUUCUGCUGAUGAAGUGACAAAAUAAGUCUGAAGCACCAGAUUUAUUUUAUGGAAUGAAUUAACGGUAUAAAGGAGUUGAAAAUAAGUAAUAGUGCAGCGUUGCAAAAGAAAAAUAAAUUAUUGUUGUAAAUAACAUAAAACAUAUUAAACAAACUUAUAAAAAAGUUAUAUAUUUUUUAUAUAAGUAUAAUUUCGUUUCAUAAUUUUCUAAGUAAUUAAUUAACUAGGCAAAAUUCAGAUUUCUUUGGCGCCGCGAUCUGAAGGUACCGUUGGUAAGAGGAAAUCUUGAUGAUUAAAAAAAUAUACCGGAUUAUAGGUACCGCAAACGCUUAGAUUAUUCGACCUAAAGUUAAAAAAUUCCAACAUUUCAAUAAGCUAUUUCAUUACAUUUAACAAACUUUACGCACAUUUUUCACUUCAAAUUUAUUAAAUUAAACUGUAAACAUUUAAACAAGUUCACAUUAUACACUUUUUGCAGGUGUUUUAAGUAAGAAAUCUAUAAUUUAAAAAUAACUUUUUAUGCUCUUACUGGACAUCAUUUAUGCGCUAAGAAUUAUGAGGAAAUGGAAUGCUUCCAUAUGAUCAUAAAGCAUUUCGCUGAAAUUCCUUUUUCUUUAUUUAGCAAUUUCAGUUUUAAUAAUUAAAACAAUUGCAUAUAGUAGAUUAUAUUUCAAAUUAAAAUUGCCUAUAAUAAAUGAGUAUAACCACCCGAAGGCCGCCAACGUAGAAAGGAGUAUUACGCGAAAGUACUUUAGUCACCACGGGUAUUGGCUCGACCAGGGUACUUUGUUCAUAAUGUUAAAAUUCUUAAUUUAUUCUUCAAAAUCUAUGUCGUUUCCCACAAUAUAAUCCCGCUUGGCUCCAAUACUCUUCUAUGCGCGUAGCGAUUCACAAUUAAUGUCUUCAAUUGACUCAAAACGCUUUCCCCGGGGCGGUCUUUUGAGUUUGCUGAAUUGUCAGAAGUCACACGGAGCUAAUUCAGGUCAAUAUGGUGCUGGCGACAAGAUACUGGUUGACAAUUUGGUUAAAACUUCAUGAAGAAUUAAUGCAGUAUGUUACGGUGCAAUGUCGUGGUGCAGAAAGCAAGAGUUGUCGGCACACUUUUCCGACCUCUUUUUACGAAUAGCUUCACGCAAAUGACGUAAAGCAUAGUAUUUUUUGUUGACAGUUUAGCCAAUCAGAAGGAAUUCAGAAUGCACCACUCCUCGAAGAAAACUGUCAACAUAACAUUGAUUUUUGUCUUGUUUUGACGUGGUUUACCUUUGCCACGAUAUUCGGCCGAUUGAUCGUCUGUAUACCGGUUGUAAGAAUAGAUUCAAGACUCAUCGCCAGUAAUAAUGCGUUUUAGGCCAUCCUGAUAGUCGGAGAGCAUUGUUUCACAGAUGUUAACGUGACUGUGCUUUGUUGGGCAUAAAUGAUCUUGAUGAUGGUUUUCAUCUAUCCUUCCGGUUUCCUUUUUUUCUGGUUUUCAUUAGGUCAUAUUUGACGUGAAAUGUUGUCAAAAUAAUGAAAACGGAUAGUCAAAUGGUGUCAAUUACGUUUGCUGGCACAUUUGACAAAUCACGGUCAUAUAAAAUGACAACCAUAUGAAAACAAUUAAACCUCGAUUUGUGGCAUCAUUAGACAUUCAAAUUUCAAAAAGUGUUUUGACGAUUUCGAGGUAAGGUUUAUAUUAUACUAGCUGACCCCGCAGCCGUUGUCCUGCGUGAAAUUAUAUGCUUUGAAAUGAAAAAAAGUUGAAAUUAUAUUGUGUCGAAAAUGAUUUAUUUUCGAUUUUUCUACAUUUUUUUAAUGUAGCGCAGCUUAAUAAACAUAAUUUUUUUGAUUUCUGUUCUGGUGCGUAAAUAUACAAAGAAGAUGGGUUUCCAACUCGUCAACACGCCACAUAUAUCUGUCCAAUUUUCCCAGGAAAUUGAAUACGUUUGAAAUAAAAUGGCUGUCCCUUGUAUUCGAUAACUGCGUCAUAAUCAGUCGGGUUCCAUUACACAGUUUCGGCGCAUGAAGAUUGUGAAACACAAUAAUGACAUAUCCAACUUUGAGACGCAAAUGAUGCUGGGGCAUACCAAGGCUCUCCAAAGAAUUUGGAAAUUCCACUGGAUAAUUUACGGUUUCGUCUUCCUUGUCAAGACGAUCGAUCGAUUUAUAUGAGCGCAAACCUCCCGAAAUUUGACUUUGAAUCUUCUAGUUUAAGUCAUUAACAUCGGUAUUUUUGGCAACUAAAAUUGCGCGUGCACUUAAGCAAUUGCAGUUACGAUAAUUUGGCCAAUGUGCGGAUAAACAUUCGGGAUGAGUUCAUCUUCCGUUGAAGUGAAUUGACAAAAGAGAUGUGAAAUUGAUAUCAAACCACUGAAAGUAUCAACCGAAAUGUGCCCAUUCCCAAUUCUUAGCGAAUACAAUGUAAAAUGUCAUCGGCAAUGUCAUUUUUUCGUAUCCCAUAAUUAACGCGAAUUUGAAGGCUGAUAUGUCGAAAUGAUCUUCGCGAAAACUAUGCGAACUUCAGUGGCAUGCGAAGUAACCAUUGCAUUGUCCUUCGUCUGUUUCCAGUGAUUAUCAUGUUCCAGCAAACGCAACUGCUGGCAUGCUUCUCAAAAAGUUGCACACACUGUACCAUUCACAAUACGCAAUGACUUAAAUGAAGUUGAACCGCGAGACGCACAACAGUCGGAAAACUUUCAUGAAUUGCAAAAGUAAACAUCCUACAAAGCGCUUUAUUGCGGUUCACAUAACGACCCAUUUGAUACUGUAGAUCUCAUAUUGUUCAAGGCCAAUAACCGCUAUGUUGCUUUCUUUGGUGACGUACUUGCAAACGUAUUUCAUCGAUUUCACCAAUCUACAAUAUUCAACAUUGACAUGAGUUUUGAAUGUGAAUUAGACAAAAGUGGCGAAUAGGCGAAUAUGGUACGAUCCAUAUGUUUUGAACUUCGAUGUCUUGUUAACGUCGAUAUUCACGCCUCUAAACACGGCUACGCUGGCUAGGUCAUGUUGUCCGGAUGGAUGAAAACACUCCAGCUCUGAAAGUAUUCGACGCAGUACACCCCGGGGGAGGCAGAGGAAGAGGAAGACCUCCACUCCGUUGGAAGGACCAACUAGAGAAGGACCUGGCUUCGCUUGGAAUAUCCAACUGGCGCCACGUAGCGAAAAAAAGAAACGACUGGCGCGCUGUUGUUAACUCGGCUAUAAUCGCGUAAUCGGUGUCUACGCCAAUUAAGAAGAAGAAACACUAAAUGUUCUGCCAUUGUCGUCUGAACAAUUAUUGCUGCUUUUUACGCACGGCCUUUAAUAGUAUAAGUUACACAAAAAGUGAACAAGGUGCUGGAAAAACGCCCCCGAUGAGCCCGCUCUAUAUAUGUAUAUUUGAAGUUUCUAGAGCCGACUUUGCGUGCUGAAACGAAUUCCACUUCAAAUCUAAUAAAUGUCAGUGUAUACAUAAUGCAUGAUAAAUUGUAAAAAAUAUUACUAUUUGUAUAUUUAUAUUUACAUUUUUUGUAUAAGAUAUGCAUUAUAUAAAAAUAUGUAUAUUGAAUUCAAUUUGAUAAUACUUUCGUUUCAUCUAAAUUGAAGAAAUUUUUAAAACAAGACCAUGAAAAUAUUUUCUCCUUACAAAAUUACUUAAAUUAUGGAAUUACAUUCUUGUAAAAGAGAAAGAGACUACAAACACGUAACACGUAAUAUUGUCCUAUUAUAUUUCCAUUCAACCUCUCCAUUAGGAAUCAUGACCUACUUCAUAAAACUUCAAUUACCCGGAUCAGUAAUACCUUUUGUGUCUUUGCCUAAAUAAUGUAAUAUACAAAUCGCGAAGACAAUAACUGUCGCCUGUAACGUGACGAUCCGAAAACACAAUAAACAUUUUCCACCACAUUUCUUGCUCUGGAUAGUCUAUAAUUAAAUUUAUUGUACGACAUCAUUUCAUUGCGGAAGCUGAAUGGUUUCAUUAAGUACGUUUUUAAAGGGUAAAGGGCCAUCGAAAGAGCACAUCUGAAUAUGUUAAAAAAACAAGAUAUUUUAAUUUAUUUAAAUUGUAUUGUUUUCCAGUAGUUUUACUUUCCAACAACCUCCAUCAGGUUCGCGACCAUAAGCUCCAACUUCUACAAACAAAAAUUUAUAGUCGGCAUCAACCAUAGCUAUCAGAAUAAUGAUAUUGUUUUUCUUGUAGUUGAAACACUCGGAACCGCAGUUGACAGGCGCCUGAAUCGCUAUGUGUUUUCCAUCCAAUACUCCAGGGCCGAGCAAUAAGAGAAAUUCCAUCGCUGGUAAAAACGUUCGUACACAUUUAUUCAUUCUUCUUGGAUGUUCGGAAUCUUAUCAUAAUACAGUUUUUAUUAUUUCACUUAUGCACGAGUAUGUAUACCUGAAUAUUUUCUUUUAAAACUAAUUUCUUAAAGCUUCAAAAAUUGCAUCACACGUCUUAUGCACUAUAUGACAAAUGGUAGAUUUUCGAAAAUACUCAUUUGGCUCGAGAAGUUAUGGCCUGUGGCCAAAUAGCGUAGUGUUGCCAUCAGUCUUUUACCAACCGAGAUCGCUUCACGGAAUCAUGAAUUUCUUUUAUAAAUAUUAGAGAGUCAAAAAACUAUUUUCGUAUUUUAAUAAUAGAUGUCGUUGCAGUGGUAUAUCUCCGAUGCUGUAUCAGUUCGUGUAGCACAAAAAUGGUUCGCUCGCUUCCAUUCUGGAAAUUUCGAAGUGAAAGGUGCACCUCGCUCUGGUCGACCUAUCGUUGAAAAAGUCGAUGAAAUUAUGGAAAAGAUUGACCAGGACCGUCACGUAAACAGCCAUGACAUCGCUAACGAACUUUAGAUUCAUUAUCAAACGAUUUUGAACCAUAUAAAAAGGCUGGCCACAAAAAGAAGCUCGAUGUGCGGGUACCACAUGAUUUGUAUGUGAAAAAUUUAAUGGACCGAAUUAACAUCUGCGAUUCUUUGCUAAAACGAAAUGAAAUCGAACAAUUUUUGAAGCGAAUAGUAACAGGAGGCGAAAGUAGAUCAAAUAUGUCCAAGCGUGGUGAAGCAAAUGGUCGCAAAGCCGGGAUUGACGUCUCGAAAAGUUAUGCCGAGUGUUUGGUGGGAUUGGAAAGGAAUCAUCCACUAUGAUCUGCUCCAGCCUGGUCGAAAUAUUGACUAUAUAUUUUACUGUCAAAAACUAAUGAGAUUAAAGCAAGCAAUCGAAAAGAAACGGCCAGAACUGAUCAACAGAAAGGGCUUCGUCUUCCAUAAGAACACCGCUAGACCAAACAUAUCUGUGAUCAUUCACCAAACAACCCUGACGUUGCACCAUCGGAAUACCAUUUGUUUCGAUCAAUGCAGAACUCCCUUAAUGGAGUAAAGUUAGCUUCAAGAGAGGCCUGUGAAAUAUACUUGUCGCAGUUUUUCGCCGAGAAACCAGAAAAGUUUUACACUGAUGAAAUAAUGCCUCUAGCGGAAAAAUAGCAAAAAGCCAUUCAUUAUAUUAAAAACAAAAUAAGUUGAAGUUUGAUUAGAAAUGCGAAGAUACUUUUUCGACUACCCUAUAUAUUAUAAUUAUGUUGUAAGGCGCCCAACUAAAAAGUCGAAGUCUUCCAGAGUCGUCCUCAGGAAGUUUUUCAAUUACUUUUGGUUCUGGGAAAUCGGCUUAAAUCUAAGUGUGAUGUAAAAUCCACUGCCAGAACUCUUAUUUAAGCUUGGUCUUAUCCUUAACCUUAACUGCUUUGGCUUUCUUUGAUUAGUCCUCUUUUUUCAAUGCUUUUAAUGUUGUUAUAAGACAUAGCGCCGCAGUUGCAAUAGCAAAUUUUUUAUAUUUAUAAUUUUUUUUGUUUUUUACGCACUUUUCUAAAAUGAAUUAUAUUUUUAAUAUAACAGCUGGUGAAAUUGUCUUCUCACAAUUGCCAUCUAUAGUGAAAACGGGUUGUCAAUCAUCUGACACCAAAACUUAACGACAGGUUUAGAACUGAUGUUGAAAUGAAAACGAAUUUGACGCACCAGAUGAAUAGCUGCUCAUUGAGGCAGUUUUUGAAGUCAAUUAUUUUGCCCUAGUAAAAACCAAGCAUUAUUAUUUUUUGCUCACAGCAAUAUAUGUAAGUAUAUUUCGUUAAAAAUAUUCGAUAAGACUGAAAAAAAAACUGUGUUGAAUUCAUGUGGCGGAGAUAACGUAUGUAAGAACGCUUAGAAGAUUUAGUCCUUUCCGAAAUAUUAGAACGAAGGUAUUAUUGCAGAGAAUACCUCAAGAUUAUGGAUCAACUCAAUAUACAAGUAUAUAAUUAUGAUAGCAUUUGCAAAUGAUUAAUAAUAUCAUAAAAAGUUUAAUCUUCUAGAACGAGGAACUUAUAACAUUUAAUUUGAUACUGUUACUGAACAUUGCGCUUAGAAGGCUCGCUUCGAACAAUUUAAAAUUUCCAUUUCGAAUGACCAAGUGUGACAAAAUUCGACAUUAGUACGUGAGGAAAGAGUUGAAAGUAGUUUUAUUCCAAGUGAAACGCACACUUAAAUAUAAGUAGAGUAAUGUAAAAGGGUGAGAGGAGCAAAGUUUAGAGGAGAAAAGCGGACAAACUAAGGAGAAAAGAGCAAUACAAAAGAACGAAUCAAAUAUCGAACAAAAAAGUUUUAUUCAAAGUAGCAGCUGCGUAUGAGAAUUUCAUUUUCGGUUCGGUUAGUUCAGAUAAAUGAGGGGCGCGGUCGACAAGUAAAGUCGCAAAAAAAUUUGCAACAUUACAAGGGUUACGUCUAAGUGGGCGGCACGUCGAUGGGACCGACUUAGAUGAAAGAAAAGCGAGCAGAGCGCGGAUACAGUCGUUAGACUGAGGUUAUGACGGUACGGAGAAGCUGUGACUUAUUGACUGUCUUUGAUGUCGGGCUGUUAAGCGUAAAACGCAGCCGCAGCAAGACUGAAAAAUAAAAAAGUAACCGUCGAAGCAGACAAAAAAUUGGAAAAUAAAUAAAAACAUUUAACAAGUCUACAAAUUUUAGCAACUUAAAAAAGUCGCUGCCAUGAAAUGCAGCACUCAGAGCACGAAAUGAGAGCAGGAUGAAGAGCAUUUCCUUGAUGCGGUGCGGCAAGGCAGCAAGCAACACAGUCAACGGGCGAGCUGUCCGAACCGGUUGACAAGUUGGCUUUCUCACCCCAUCUCCGUUGGUUAGUCACAUGGGUUGUUCGUCCUGCUCGUCGCAUGGUUCUUUUAGUGGAGACUUCAGGUUGGCAGUUGGCGACAGGACAUUUGCGGCUGUUAUGCGUCCGGUAAUACUUCGUAGUCCAACAACCACAUGAGAAAUUGCAAAAACUUGCAUUACCACCAGCCAUAGCUGCAAUGGCAAUAACAACGCAGCUGCAAUAACAAAGAAACCAUUUACAACAUUGCUUUUCAUAUUAAUUUAUUUAUUGCAAUUAGUUCUCUCAGUUCUCCACCUGGUCUUUCCAACUUGUCGGAGAGGUUCUUCCCCAUCCCGACGGAGCUUGUGGUAUUGCUCAACGUCAGUUUACACAGCCCAAUUAGUUUUUCCUACAAUUGUACUGGUUCGUUUUAAAACAGGAAGAGGUUUGAAUAAUGAAUACUUAUAUAUCUAAUGCGAAUUCGGUCCAAAAAUUUCGUAAGCUCAUCAUGGUGUGAGUGCUUAAAAAAUGUGUAUGGCUUGAUCGACAACUAAACAUCUGUUGCUAUCCCAAUCAAUAUUUAUAGUUAAGAAUUUAAUAGGUGUUCGCUAGAAAAUUCUGCCUCUUGACCGCUUUUAUAUAAACAAAAACGAUCCACGAGUAUAUCUAGAUUUUGAUACAUCAGUUUGAAUGACAGCUAUCAUAUAUGCUAUAAUGGUCUGAUCUUAAAAAUUAUCGGAUGUAUUAGCGUUGGAUUUGCAGUAUUGUCAAAUAAGAAAGAUUUCGUUACAAGCACUUCAUUUUGAUUGUUCAGUUUGUAUGACAGCUACAGCUAUAUGCUAUAGUGAUCCGUUAACGGUGAUGCCGACACAUAAGCAGCUUAUUAGGGAGCAAAGAAUGUGUGUAAUAUUUUACAUAUACAACCUUACAGAAGGAAAUGGCUAAGUCUACAUAUAUCAUCACGCUGAUCAUUUUCAUACCAUAGUGUCCGACGUUUCCUUCUGUGUAUUACAAACUUCAUGCCAAACAUAAUAAAUCCUGUUCACGGUAGACAAAUUAAAUCAAAGAAUGCUUAACUUCUUCUUUAACAAGGAUUGCAUUUAAGCUGUCAAAUGCCUAAUUCCGUGCUAAAAUUGUGUUCUUAUAAGCAAUUAUUCGCCAGCAGUGCAUACUCGAACAAAAGACUCCGGCCGUAUAUUGCUUACUCGGACCUCAAAGCAUUAUCUUUCAUCCGCUUGGUUGGCUGAUAAGAGGUUGCAUUUAAAUGCGGCAAUCAACCUAGCGAAGAGGUAGGGCUGAAACACGCAACGGGAAAAGUUUUUCCUACAAAACGCAACAACAAUUACAAGCGCAAAAAAAAUUGCAAUUACAAGCCAGGCAGCGAUAAAAUGCAAACGUGUUGGCCACGUUCACGCACUUUGGCAGGAAGUGUUGUUUGCAGUUGCGAAAGUAAUAAAAGUAAUAUAAAAAAAAAAUAAUAAAGUCAAAGGGAAAGCGCAAAUAAAUGCAAAAUGUUGGAAGCUCAAGAAAACCGGAAUCGCACUGUCGGAACUGGGGUGUGGAAUACAGUUUGUAAUUUUUAUGCUCCUCUUUGUUCGUCAAAACUUCUUCGUCGUUAUCUCCGUUGUGUGCGGAUCACAACGACAACAUCCAUUGGCCCCCCACUUUUAUACCGCUUUAUCCUUUAUUGUAACCCUUGCGUUAGCCUCAUAUCUUAUGACUCAUACAGACUAGUGCUGCCACACUAUGUCUUUCCUUCUGUUCACGUAGGGCAAAAAAUUUUGAACUUUUUAGUUACCGCAAAGUGAAAGUUUAAAUUGCGUUUUCCUCUAUUUUUAGUGUUUGGUUUUAAUUGGGCUUGCUGUAUACUGUCUGUUUUUUCCUGCCUUAACCGAGCGCUGUCACUUCCUGCAUUGCCUUUGCUUUAUAUCCUUACCGGUCAACCUGGUCGAGUACUUGCACUUUCUCUUUACGCUCAUUUCUAACACUCCAAACAACUUCAUUAUAAUUUAAAGCGAAUUUGUUGUUGUUUUUUGUGAGUUCUAUUUUUCUUCAUAUUUCAUUGCUCAUGUGGUAAGAAGUGGUACGUAUAUUUUCAUAAUUUUGCUAUCCUUUUCACUGUGUGUUGGAAAUUAAUAAUAUUGAUGAAAUGGAAAUUGACUUAUGUGAUUUCCACUUCGGUCAUUUGUAAAUAAACAAAUGUAGAGUUAAGCGAAUGGCUGGUUCGAACGGUCGCCGUUAAGAGUUAAAGUGUAAACACAAUGGCUACGACAGACUGCAGCGGCACGACAGUGAACUGAAAACGUCGUUGUUCAUCUUACUACAUGUACAUUUUGAGAAGCAACAACAACACAAUGGCCGCAUUUACACAAAACAACGCAGUUGUCCAUUUUGCAUGUACACAAUUUCGUUGUGGCCAUACUAAUACCUUUCACUUCAAUGAAAUUUUAAUAUUUUGUUCAAAGUGAAAUUUUUAUGCAAAAAAUAAGUAAAUAGGUAAAUAUUUUUGCUUUAAAUUAUCACUUGUUAUUACAAAUGAUAUAAUAGAGCUAUAAUAUAGCUAUUUUAUGCUUUUAUUUGUAAAAUAACGUCAAGUUUGUUAGAGCCGUGAAUAAUUUUACAUUUUACAUAUUAGUCGCAUCACCACUCUACCUCCUCUUUCUAUCUUCCAUUCUACUGUCAACUCUACUGUCGUCGUACUGUCGUUGGCAAAAAUAGGAGGAUAUUGAAGUUAGCGAGAACGACAACUGUCGGCCUGCAGUCGUGUAAUCGUGCAGCUGUGAAAAUAACACUGCCCAUAAGAACGUGUGUAUUUUAAUAUUUGACAGAUGUAGUUUGCAGUCUGUCGUAGCCAUUGUGUUUACACUUUUAUAUGCGCGUGUAUAUAUUAAAUUCGGCUAACGCCUGUAUUGAGUUGCGUUAAGUUAAGCUCAUUAGCAAAGCAAAGGAAAUGCCUAGGGCUAUUUGAAGAACUUAAUUUAUUUGAAGUUGUUGUUUUUGUUGCGACUGUGUCAUGAACGAAGCUGUUAGGUUGCUUUGUUUUAAAAUUUGAGAAAAUAGUUAUACAGGAAUUAAUACAUUAUAUAAGGCAAUAUUCAAGUAAAACCUCAAAGUCGUUUUCUGCUGGUGAGGGAAGUAGAGUUCCUUCAAUUUAUAAUAUAUAGUAGAACGAAGUGAAACAAAUCUUCUUCUUCUUCUUAAUUGGCGUAGACACCGCUUACACGAUUAUAGCCGAGUUAACAACAGCGCGCCAGUCGUUUCUUCUUUUCGCUACGUGGCGCCAAUUGGAUAUUCCAAUCGAAGCCAGGUCCUUCUCCACUUGGUCCUUCCAACGGAGUGGAGGUCUUUCUCUUCCUCUGCUUCCCCCGACGGGUACUGCGUCGAAUACUUUCGGAGCUGGAGUGUUUUCCUCCAUCUCGACAACAUGACCUAGCCAGCGUAGCCGCUGUCUUUUAAUUCGCUGAACUAUGGCAAUGUCGUCGUAUAUCGUGUACAGCUCAUCGUGAAACAAAUCAUAACAGUAAAACACAUUUUCUACAAAAUGCUAUAAAAAUGAACUGAAUUUAAAAUAAAUAAAAUAAAAUAAUAACAUUAAGAAAUAAAAUAUGAAAGUAAUAUAGAAUAAAAUAAAAAAAAUACAGUAAAGUUUAUACCUAUUUUAUUAAUUUUUUUAUCAUUUUCUAAGUUUAAAUACUGAAGAGGCUUAUGAGCUAUUUGUAUUUAACGGAACUUAUUUAUAUUUUACUAAAAUAACAGAUGGAGUCAUCUGUAGAAGUUCCCGCAAGUGAGGAAAGUUCUCUAAUCGUUAACUUAAAUUUUUUAAUUUCUGAUACAGAUAUCUGAUUUCUUCAGAGAAAAGUGGGACAACCAGCCAAACAGUAGUUGCUUUUAAAAUGAUAUUGGUGUAGUUUCUUACCCUUAGUGAGUUCUACGGUUCUUACCCUGAAUAGGGUAUUUUAAGUUUACUAUGAAGUUUGUAACACUCAAAAAGGGUCGUCGGAGACCAUAUAAAGUAUAAAUACUACAAUGAGCAAAAAAUAGUAAGACUUCAUAGAUUUAAAAUUUUUCAUUUAUUCUUCAAAGUCUACAUCGCCCCUCAAAAUAACACCCAUUGGCUCCAACACACUUGCACAAACGUUUUUGGCAAUUCUCGAAACAGUCAAUUUGCGGAAGAGUAUUCAUUGAGCGUACUGAUUCAUAGAGUUUCCCGAACCGAUCUGUCUUUGCUAACUGGCCAGAAGUCACACGGAGAAAAAUCGUUGCAUUGCCGUGGUGAAAAAACCGGAGUUGUCUGCCCAUAAUUCCGUCCUCUUCUCACGAUUAGCUUCGCGCAAACGACACAUAACACUAAAGGAGUAUUCUUCGUUGACAGCUUGGGCGGUCGGAAUGAAUUCGGAGUGCACCACACCUCGAUAAUAGAAGAAAACUGUCAAAAUGACCUUGAGUUUUCACCAGCUUUGACGUGUUUUUUUGGCUUCGGCUCACCUUUGGUAAGAUAUUCGGCUGAAUGAACGUCUGUUUCCAGGCCAUAAGAAUAGCUCUCAUCGCCGAUAAUAAUGUGUUACAUAAUUCCUGGUAGUCGGAAAGAAUUUUUUCAGAGACGUUAACGCGGCGCUGCUUUUGGAAAAAAAUGCAUGUUACGUUCUUCAGAAAGACAGGCAUCCUAAACACUACUGAUUAUUUUGAUGUGACAUUUGACACUAGUUAAGAAAAGAAAUUUUAAUUAAUUUAAAUUUUUCCAAAGAAUUUCAUUUUAAUUUUUGUAAAGUUAAUUUAAUGCCAAAUUAUUAAAUUUUAUUUUUAACUAGCUGACCCCGCAGCCGUUGUCCUGCGUGAAAUUAUUUGUUUUGAAAUGAAAAAAAGUUGAAAUUAUGUUGUGUCGAAAAUGAUUUAUUGUCGAUUUUUCUAAAUUUUUUUUAAUGUUGCGCCGCUUAAUAAACAUUAUUUUUUGAUUUCUGUUCUGGUGCGUAAAUAUACAGAGAAGAUGGGUUUCCAACUCGUCAACACGCCACGUGAAAAACAUAGGAUAAAUUCCCGGAAUUUGACUUUGAAUAACAUCGGUAUUUUUGGCAGCUAAAAUUGCGCGUGCACUCAAGCAAUUGCAGUUACGCUAAAUAAUAAAGGUCGGAUAAACAUUCGUGAUGAGUUCAUCUUCCGUUGAAGUGAAUUGACAAAAGGGCAGUGAAAUUGAUAUCAACCCACUGGAAGUAUCAACCGAAAUUUGCCCAUUUCCAAUUCUUAGCGAAUCAAUGUAAAAUGUCAUCGGCAAUGUCAUUUUUUCGUAUCCCAUAAUUAACUCGAAUUUGAAGGCUGAUAUGUCGAAAUGAUCUUCGCGAAAACUAUGCGAACUUCAGUGGCAUGCGAAGUAACUAUUGCAUUGUCCUUCGUCUGUUUCCAGUGAUUAUCAUGUUCCAGCAAAUGCUACUGCUGGCAUGCUUCUCAAAAUGUUGCACACACUGUACCAUUCACAAUACGCCAUGACUUAAAUGAAGUUGAACCGCGAGACGCAAAACAGUCGGAAAACUAUCAUGAAUUGCAAAAGUAAAUAUCCUACAAAGCGCUUUGUUGCAGUUCACAUAUCGACCCAUUUGAUACUGCUGAUCUCAUAUCGUUCAAGGCCAAUAACCGCUAUGUUGCUUUCUUUGGUGACGUACUUGCAAACGUAUUUGAUCGAUUACACCAAUCUGCAAUAAUCAACAUUGACAUGAGUUUUGAAUGUGAAUUAGACAAAAGUGGUGAAUAUGGUACGAUCCAUGUGUUGUCAACAUCGAUGUGUUGUUAACAUCGAUAUUCACGCCUCUAAAUGCUAAAUGUUAUGCCAUUGUCGCAGGUGAGCGACGCCGAUGCAGUGAAUAUCCAUCAUUUCCCAUUUCCGUUUCCGAAAGAAAAGCACACGAGUAGUGUUUCGUGCAUUUGUUGUCAGACAUACAAACCAAAGUGGGAUUGUAAGGUUCGCAAGGUCCAUGAACCAUAUUGGUUUUCACCACUUCGUAUAAUUCUGGAUCUAUCUCUGAAUAAGAAAUUUCCGCUGAAAUGAUUUCAUCAAUAGGAUCUGGUGUAAUCACCAUCCGCAUCCAAAGAUGACUGUGUGUACUCAACAGAAUACAUUCAGCAUCUAACAGCACCAUAUAUACCAUAGGUUGCUUCAAGAUAAAGACCAUCAAACAUCGCAGCUAUUGUUUAAAAAGUCGUGCUGUGAUAUCGUUACGAUCGCUAGCUGAUUGACCGCGAUCCAUAAUUCCGCACGUAUGUCAUCGCAUUUUGGGAGUAAUUCUUGCAUUUCCUUGGGCUGCCAUACGCUGACGGCAAAAAGAACGCCGACCAAUAUUAGCGCGACCUCUUCGUGGCUUCGUAACAAAUUUCAAUCUGUAAUUGAUCACUUCGUCUGAAGCACACAUAAAGUUUUCACUGAAUAAUUUUCAAUAAUUUUUCCUUUGGAUAGUCGGAAUAAAAAAGCAAGCGACCGCAAUUGAACGAUUCAAAUAAUUUACAAAUCAAAAUAUUGAAAAACAAAACAAACAAAAAUUGAAAAAAAUGUGUAUGGAAAAUGUUACUUUCUGGAAUUGUCCAAUUUUCCGACUUCUCCUCAUGAAAAGUAUAAGGUAUUUUGUUUCUAAACCUUUCCCGAUCCACAACAAACAACCUUUAAAAAUUUCAUCAACCGUUCUCUUAGUGUUACUAACACACAAACAUUCAUUUUUAUAUAACGUUUGUAUGGGGAAAAGAAAAAAGCUGUUUUUAGGGGUUUUCCGGAAAUUAUUCGAAUUUUUCUCGCCGUAAAAACCAUCUUUGAACUUCAACGAACAUUUAAGAAAAAUAAUUGGCCAAAUUGGUCCAGUCGUUAUUGAGUUAUGAGCGUACAUACAUUUUGACGAUUCAUUUUUAUUUAUGUAUAAAUGUAGAUGUAUAUAUGUAUAUAGAUUUAAAAAGUUUAUAAUUAAAUUAAAUUUUCCUCGACGUGCCCUCGCCUACAGUUUGGGCGAUAAAAGGCGUAGUGUGUCAAUGCGCGCUUAAUCCGUUUAAAGUAUCGAUAAGUCGUUGUAUUCAUAUAUUGUGUAUCGCCCACCCCUACAUUUACUCAUUUUGAAAUUGUCAGACGGAUUGGAUGGAUGGGAAGAAAAAUUUACUGCGAUAUAAUUGGAGAAAUUUCAAGGAUUUUGGUGAGUAUAGUGUGUGAAAACUUUAAUAAUAAAUUAAAUUAGAGGCAUUUGAAACGCCUUUUUAAAACUAAAAAAGAGUUUUAUACAGAACAAUUAGCCGUUAAAAAUGAGGCAUCAGUACGAGUUCGGGGAAACGAUGCCGCUACCGAGAAUAUUACGCAUUGUAAUUCUUUUCAUAGUACUGAUGCCACUAGGGAAAAGCUUCCAUUAAAGAAUUCUUUUCGGGAAAAAAUUAAAGCUUGGCAGAUUAAAAAUAGAAUCGGUCACAAAAGCUUACGUGAGCUUUUAUUUAUUUUAAAAGAAGAAACUUUAGACGUACCGUUAAGUCCCUCAGUUCUAUUGGACUUAAAAAAUGAAGAAGUGGUUAUUGAACAUGUUCUCCCGGGAGAGUAUGUUCAUCUCGGCCUUAAAAAUCAAAUUAAGAAAAUUGAAAGUAGUGUGUUAGAAUUUAAUGAAAUUGUGUUUGAUAUUAAUAUUGAUGGUCUGCCAUUAUUCAAUAGUUGAAGAACUCAACUUUGACCAAUUUUAAUACGCAUAGUUAAUAUUCCAAAUAUAUCGGUAUUUCCUGUGGGUAUAUAUAAAGGCAAGCAAAAGCCAAGUGAUAUUGAUAAGUUUUUGAGCUAUUUUGUCAAUGAGUUUCAAAUUCUAAGGGUAAAUGGGUUAGAACUAGGCGGUAAAAUAUAUGAAUUAAAAAUUAGAUCUUUAAUAUGUGAUGCACCAGCUAGAGCAUUUGCCUGUGGUAUUCCGCGUCACACAUCAGCUCAUGGGUGCUCAAAGUGCACAGCAGAAGCAAAAAAAAAUUAGAAAUACCCUUGUGUAUCCCACGAAAGUUGGAAAAAUUGUAAGUGAUGAAGAUUUCGAUCUCCGAAGACACAUUGAUCAUCACCAAAUAGGAUUUCGCACAGUUAAAACACCAUUUGAAAAAGUAAAUUUAAAAAUGAUAACACAGGUACCUUUAGAUCCAAUGCAUUUAAUCGAUCUUGGAGUUAUAAAAAAGUUUUUAGUUAGAAUUUUAAAAAAUAAAUUAAGUUAUGAAAAGCGACUAUGUGUAGCAAACAAAAAACAAAUAUCCGAUCAUUUGGAAUCGCUUAAAAUUCACAUUCCAAAGGAAUUCGUUCGUCUACCUCGAAGUUUUGAGGAAGUUGCACACUGGAAAGCUACAGAAUUCAGACAAUUUUUGCUUUACACAGGUAUUUUAGUUCUAAAAGAUAAAGUGCAUGAAGAUGUAGGCACAAUUCCGAUUUCUUUGGCGCCGCGAUUUGAAGGUACCGUUGGAAAGAGGAAGUCCUCCUGAUUAAAAAAUAUAUAGGGUUAUAGGGUACCGCAAACGCUUAGUUUACGAGAUAUUCGACCUUAAAGUUCAAAAAUUCCCAAAAAUCGAGCAUUUCAACAAGCUAUUUUACCGCAUUAAACACACUUUACUCACAUUUUUCACUUCAAAUUAAUUAAUUUAAGCUAUAAACUUUUAAAUAAAUCCACAUUUUACACUUUUAACAGUUUUUUUACCGAAGAAAUCUUUAUUUUAAAAAUUACAUUUUACACUCGUAGUGAACAUCAUGUGUGUGCUAAAAUUACGACGAAAUGGAGCGCUGCCAUGUGAUAAUAAGGAAAUUCGCUGAAAUGCCUUUUUUCCCAAAAAUUCCUCUAUCCAUUCAUAUGGAUAUGUUCUUUAUUUAAUUUAAUAAACAAAUAUGUAAUAUUAUAUACUUAAUAUAUAUUAUAAUAAUAUUAUAUAAUAAUAUUUAACCAUUUUAUAAUGAAAACUCAAACUUUGUUUGAAUAUUAGUGCAAGAUAACCAAAAAAUAUAACCACUUUAUAACGAAACUCAAUAUAUUUUUUUAUUUUAACGCAAAAAGAGUACUACGCGAAAGUAUUUCAGUCACCCCGGGUAUUCGCUCGACCAGGGUUAUUUUUUUAAAGCGCGGCCGAAGGCCGCCAACGCCGAAAGGAGUAUUACGCAAAAGUACUUCAGUCACCCCGGGUAUUCGCUCGACCAGGGUUAUUUUUUUAAAGCGCGGCCGAAGGCCGCCAACGCAGAAAGCAGUACUACGCGAAAGUACUUCAGUCACCCCGAUAUGAUAUAAAUUUUACAAUAAUUUUUCCAAUGUGUAUAUGGAAGACGUUUUCACAACUCAAUAUUAUAACUUGAAAACUGUUGGAAAGUAUUUUUUAUUAUAAUUAAUAUAGAAAAAAGAAUCACGCAAAAGAACAAACAAAGAAAAAUCGUUAAGAAUCCUACAAAUUUGGUGUUUGAGAUGUGGCAACGCUCGUUUUCCUCAUAAUUGUAAACAAUCUAGCCUUUGCAACGAUGGGUGUUCUAAGUGAUUUUUAAAUUAAUAAAUAUAGGUAAAAUAUUACAAAAUAGAAGUGAAUUGUGAACUUAUUUCAAUCUUUAAAGUGUAUAUUUAAAUAUAACAAGAGAAAAAUGUGAAAAAAUUUAGAGAAACAUAGAGAAAUAACAUGUUUUCUUAGUGCAAAUUUUUGAAUUUUUAAACGUGAAUAUUUCAAAAAAUAUUAGUUAUUUUUACAUUAUUUUUGGAUAUUCCUCCUCUGGAGAAGCUACCCUAUCCGCACGUACCCCAUUUAUAUGGAAAUUCGUUUUUUUUACCACGCCGCCAAAGUAAUCGGAAUCGUGCCAAGAUGUAUACUAUGUUAUUUACAAAAUUAAAAAAAAACGUUAGAAGACCUACUAAAAUUUUAAAGCAACUAACUAAUAUAAAUACAUAUUCUGACUUUCAUGUUAAAUCUAAAAUAACAGGAUUUAUAGAAAUAAAUUCAAAUAUUAAAGCAUAUACCAAUCUGCAUUAUUUUUUUAGCAGAUUUAGUCCAAAUAAUAUCUGUUUAAUCUACCCUUUUAUUAUUAUAAAUAUUCAAGCUUUUGAAAAAUCGGAUCCCGGCUCUGGGGUAAUAAUUGGAAGACGAUAUGUUAAUACUAUUAGUUUUUUCAAAGAACCCUUAGACUCUUUUUCAGCUUUGGGUAUAUGCUUAGCUGAUGCUGUACCCAGAACUGAAAAUUAAAUGUUUUCAAUUGAAAACAUAACUUGCAAAAUGUUAUGUUUGCCACAUAACGACCAAUUACUUUUUAUACCAAUAUUACAUGGCUGCACUAAUUAACGUUUUUAAUUUUGUUUUCAUAUACUUACGAGUACAUACAUAUGUAAAUAUUUGGAGUUGGUUCAUAAGGAAAAAAAAUGGAAACAGCUGGAAAGCUUCGCCGGAUGAACGCCGGAAUACCCCAAUCAUUUCUAGAUAGCUUCAAUGAUGAUUGCGAUAAGUGCAACAACCUUCAAAAAUUAUUUGUGGACAAAAUUACAGAAUUAAUUAAUUGAAAAACAAAACAAAGUGAUCAUUAAUAUUUUGGCGGAACAUACCGGUUUGUUACAAAAUCUAAUCUCAAAAUGAGAAGGGAACUGUUGGAGCUAUUUCCAAAUUUCCUAUCAAAACAGAUGAUGUUAUCGUGAAAUUAGAGGCGGAAAUAAAUGAUGAUAAUAGAGAUUGCUAUAUUUCAGCAGUGCAAUACUUGUUGCAAGGAGAGGUUGUAAAAAAUUUCGAAAAAGUUUUGGCGCGUAAAUUUUGCCUUGAAUACAACACUAAUGGAAUUGGCAACAAAAAGAGCUUUAAGGAUUUUUCUAUGGUGUAUACCAUACUUAAAAAAGCAAUUGGAAAAACAGCAGUAAAUGCGAAAGCGGAAAUGAGGAGAGCUUUUCAGGUCGUAAAAAAGAGGAAAUUCCGGCAGGUUUCUUCGUUCAAAAAUCAUACCUAAUAUAAAAACUGAUUUUUUUGCGUUACACAUACGUACCUCUCCCAAAAUAGAGUUAAGUUUUUAAUAAUAAUUUAAGUGUAAUAUAUGUAAAUAAAAUUUUUUUAUAAAAAAUGA